rnacentral:rRNA from 1 species
UACGUAGGGUGCAAGCGUUAUCCGGAAUUAUUGGGCGUAAAGAGCUCGUAGGCGGUUUGUCGCGUCUGCUGUGAAAACUGGAGGCUCAACCUCCAGCCUGCAGUGGGUACGGGCAGACUAGAGUGCGGUAGGGGAGAUUGGAAUUCCUGGUGUAGCGGUGAAAUGCGCAGAUAUCAGGAGGAACACCGAUGGCGAAGGCAGGUCUCUGGGCCACUACUGACGCUGAGAAGCGAAAGCAUGGGGAGCGAACAGG